AUGAAGUUGGAGUUGAACAUGUUUA
rnacentral:piRNA from 1 species